rnacentral:rRNA from 1 species
UACGGAGGGUGCAAGCGUUAUCCGGAUUCACUGGUUAAAGGGUGCGUAGGCGGCAGGUAAGUCCGUGGUGAAAUCUCUGAGCUUAACUCAGAAACUGCCAUGGAUACUAUUUGUCUUGAAUAUUGUGGAGGUAAGCGGAAUAUGUCAUGUAGCGGUGAAAUGCUUAGAUAUGACAUAGAACACCAAUUGCGAAGGCAGCUUACUACACAGUUAUUGACGCUGAGGCACGAAAGCGUGGGGAGUCAAACAGGA